rnacentral:misc_RNA from 1 species
GUGAAUCAUCGAAUCUUUGAACGCAAAUUGCACUCUCCUCGGAGAGUAUGACUGUUUGAGGGUCAGCCUAUAAAAAAUCGACAUCGUUGCUGUUUCGCGGUGGCGUUCGUCGGAAAUUGGGUCUUCUUAAAUCCUUUUGGUUUUUAAGCGCCUUAAAAUUUUCUUUUUGGUUCUAUGAACGUUUCUAAGAUUUAUUUCUUUACACGUUUAAGGUAUCGAUUUUUAUUAGACGUGACCUUCAUAUCGGAUCGCGUCCAUAAUCUUUAUUUAAC